AAUGAAAAAUCUCUGUGUACUCCUGUCUACUUUCUUCAUCUCUCCGACUAUCCCAAAGCUUCUUCGCAAACUUCUUUCUCCUCAUGCUUUCUGGAACAUCUUCAUUCCACCACCAAGUCUCCUUGUCUUCCUUCCACUGUCCAGAUGUCACACCCAGUACCUUCCUAGCUGUCUCCUUAACUACAUCUGCAGUACUUUUCCUGUUGUCCAAAACUGCUUCCUCUCCAUCUCGUGCCUCUCUCAUCUGCUCACUGAAUGUCACACAACAGUCUUCCUCCUUCAGCUUCCACCAUCUGAUCCUUUGUUGAGCUCUUUUUUUCUCUCUCGCUCUCUUUUUUUUCUGUUGCGUCUGUCAGUUGCAUGUGUAGUUGUGCUGUGUUUUGUCGUGCUUUUUUCUUUUCAUCAUGCCAUUACUGUGUUUUGGGGUUUUUUGCACGUGUUUUUGCAUGUCUUGAUUUUCUGAAUGAAGUGUAGGUGUGAUAGUAAUUGGGCUCCACCCUCAUUGCCCCAUGAACUUCUACCAUUGGCCACAUUGGCCAAUGGUAGAAGACUGGGUUAAAAGCGCAGAGGGUGUGGCAAGGGGGAGGGGGAGGCGCAUGAGAGGAAACCUGACGCAGGUGCGGACACGGAAGCAGGACGCCUGGUAGAGAGACAGGACGGAGAGAGACACGUACAACGCCCGCUAAACAGUUAAGGGAGGGACGUGUCCCAGACUGCUCGUGUGUGUGCGCGCACGUCUUGGGGAGUGGUUUGACUGAAGUACAGCAACAGGAGGUGACUGACUUGUUACUUCGCUGGAGGUCGGUGUUUGCAUGCCACGAGGAGGAUUUUGGACGCACGGGAGUGGUCAAGCACCAGAUCCCCACGGACACAGCUACACCAAGCCGGGAGCGCUAUAGACCAGUGCCCCCGAGCUUGUACACAGAAUUGAGGUCCUUGUUGAAGAAUAUGCUGGAGAGUGGAGUGGUACGGGAAAGCUCCAGUCCAUGGGCGGCACCUAUUGUCUUGCCAUCUGCGUCACCUGGAGGUUUUUGCAAAGCUGCAAGAACAUGGGUUGAAGCUGCAGCCUCGGACGUGUUGCCUCUUCCAGAGGAGCGUGAAAUACCUGGGGCAUGUGAUCAGUGAGGAGGGAGUGGCUACAGACCCAGCAAAAACGGAGGUGGUGAAGGACUGGCCUGUCCCUAAGACAGCAAAACAGGUGAAGUCAUUCCUUGGGUUUGCUAGUUACUACCGCCGCUUUAUACCGAACUUUCUAGGAUUGCUCUGCCUCUUAACGCUUUGACCCAUGGUACUGCUCAAGAUCGUACAGCUCCAGUUGCCUGGUCGGAAGAGUGCCAGCAGGCUUUUGAUAAGCUGAAGGGGGCCCUAGUAAGUGCACCAAUUCUGGCAUAUGCAGAUUUUUCUCAACCUUUUUAUCUUUACACGGAUGCCAGCCUUGAGGGCCUAGGAGCAGUACUUGCACAGGUACAGGACGGGAAGGAGAGGGUGAUUGCCUACGCGAGCCGCAGUCUCCGACCAACGGAGCCUAACGACCAAAACUAUAGUUCGUUUAAGCUAGAGCUGUUGGCAUUGAAGUGGGCGGUCACAGAGAAAUUAAAGAUUAUCUGUAUGGUGCAGAAUUCAGUCUUUACUGAUAAUAACCCUCUGGUACACCUGGGUAGAGCCCGUUUGGGUGCAGUGGAACAGAGGUGGUUAGCUCAGUUGGCUAACUUUAAGUAUACCUUAAAAUACCGGCCUGGCACUCAGAACCGAAAUGCAGAUGCUCUAUCCCGGUUACCCAAGCAGGACGAUGGCCUGGUGCAGUCACUUCAAGUUAUGACAGAAGGAGUAUCGUGGGAGGAUCAGCAGAAGGCGGACCCUGACCUCCGCUGUAUAAGGCUGCACAAGGAGUUGCAACGAGCGUGCCCUGAGGUAUGUGCUGACACUUCCAAAUUCCUGAAAGGCCUUAUAAGGUAUUGGGAUAAAAUUGAAUUAGAGGAAGGGGUGCUGAAAAGGCAAUGGAGGGAUGCGGGGACUGGGACUGUAAUUUCUCAGGUUCUUGUCCCCAAGCAGGAAACGCUGGCUGUAUGGAGGGCCUACCACGAUGGGAUGGGUCUUCCAGGCAGGGAUCGAACAAAGAUGAUUCUCCAGCAACGCUGCUUUUGGCCUGGAAUGGAGGAAGACUUGGAGAAGUGGUGCAGCUCUUGUUCUCAGUGCGUGUACAAUAAAUCGGGCCUGAUGGCAGGGCCCCAUUGAAACCUAUUCAGGCCUCCUACCCUUUUGAAGUGCUCGGCAUUGAUUAUCAAUCAAUUUCUUUAUAUAGCGCCAAAUCACAACAAACAGUUGCCCCAAGGCGCUUUAUAUUGUAAGGCAAGGCCAUACAAUAAUUAUGUAAAACCCCAACGGUCAAAACGACCCCCUGUGAGCAAGCACUUGGCUACAGUGGGAAGGAAUAUCUGUCCCUUGGUCGUCCGGUAGACAGGUAUCAAUACAUAUUGGUAAUGACCGACCUAUUUUCAAAGUAUGCGGUUGCGGUCCCUACCCAGGACCAGUCCGCAGAUACCACCGCUAAAGCAUUAUAUAGUGACUGGAUUUUGACAUUCGGUUGCCCAGAACGAAUACUUUCUGAUCGUGGAGCGGCCUUCGAAUCAUCUCUGAUGAAACAGCUUUGUCAACUGUAUGGGUGCCAUAAGAGUAGAACAACAGCCUAUCACCCCCAGGGGAAUGGUGGUUGUGAACGAUUUAACCAGACCCUUUUACAGUUGCUUAAUUCUCUCCUGGAGACCCAACAGCGGUUUUGGCCAGAUAAGUUGCCAGCCCUAGUGCAGGCUUAUAAUAACACCGUUCACAGCACGACAGGGAUGACUCCUCAUUAUGUUGUGUUCGGUAGACACACACGGCUAGCACUGGAUUGGUUGUCUGGUCUGGCCCCUACCAUAGAUGCUCAGAGUUUAGAAGGAUGGGCCAGACACCACCAGCGGGCCCUGCGAGGUGUGUAUAAGACUGCAAAAGAACGGACAGUUCACCGUCAACAUCGGGACCAGACGAGGUACAAUCGACGGGCCCCACUCCCACCGUUGUUUCCGGGCGAACGGGUAUUGGUUCGUAACUUCUGCUGGAGGACCCGGGGAAAGCUGUCCACUAAAUGGUAUUCGGACCCACAUGUGGUGGUCUCUCAGUUAGCAGAGGACCACCCAGUUUAUUGUAUUCGUCCCGAAGGUAGGAGGGCCCAAUGCGUACAUACCAUCGUAAUAAUCUCCACCCUUGCCCUUUUGAUGUGUUACAGCAACCAGGUGUUGAACCUGAGGCAAGGCCGAAACAAUCUCCAUUACCUCCUCCCACUGUAUGGCUUCCUAGAUUGACUGUGACCCAAAUGACUGCCUCUCCGCAAGAACCGCCGGUGAAUCCUAUUCCACCUGGCCCUCCAGAACAAUCGCCACAAGUAAGGUGCCCUCAGCGUUAAAAUUUGGGCACAGUACCCCUCAAGAUUUCGGGAAUGAUUGGCCGGGACGACCAAUGUUAAAGGAGGGGGGAGAAUGUCACAGGGGCUUUUUUUUUUAUUUCUGUUGCAUCUGUCAGUUGCAUGUGUAGUUGUGCUGUGGUUUGUCGUGCUUUUUUUUUUUUUUCUUUUCAUCAUGCCAUUACUGUUUUGUUUUUUUUUUUGCACGUGUGUUUUUGCAUGUCUUGAUUUUCUGAAUGAAGUGUAGGUGUGAUAGUAAUUGGGCUCCACCCUCAUUUCCCCAUGAACUUCUACCAUUGGCCAAUGUGGCCCACAGACUGGGUUAAAAGUGCAGAGGGUGUGGCGAAGGGGAGUGGGGGGCGCACGCAUGAGAGGAAACCUGACGCAGGUGCGGACACGGAAGCAGGACGCCAGGUGGAGAAACAGGACGGAGAGAGACACGUACAACGCCCGCUAAACAGUUGAGAGGGACGUGUCGCAGACUGCUCGUGUGCGCGCGCGCACGUCUUGGUGAGUUUGAUGCUUGUCCCUGAGUCCUCCCUCUGAUCUGUGCAGCUUGCUGGCCGUGGAAGUGCAGGGAAGGAUUGCGGCCGGAGGCGCAGGAGAUCGAAAGGACACGACGCGCAGCGCGCACAAUGCUCGCUAUAUGGUUAAGUAAAAGGGAUGUCUGCCAGACUGCUUGUGUGUGUGCGUGCGCACCUGUCAUAGAUUGUGUGGCCCUCAGCCCCUCCUUCUGAUCUGUGCAGCUAACUGUGUGUGGAGGUACGGAGGAAGAGAGACGCGGACCGCGGCCGGAACAGCAGGAGACGGAGAGCUCGAAGUGCAUGGGCAGCACCCAUGGAGAAUAGCGGAGGUCGGACCUGAGCCCGGACCACUCGGACGUUGCGGAGUAUUGCCCCCCCAAAAAAAGAGGGAUAAUCUUUCAGCUCCUCACUAUCCCCACCCAGUUUUAUGCAGAAGUUUUUUUUUUUUUUUGAAGAAAAACAAGAUCUUUGUGAUUUUAUUCUUUUUGACUGAGGCUUUGGGUUUUUCUUAUUUUUUUCUUGGUUCCGGAUGUUUUAUAUGGACUUUUCUUAGUUUUAGUCAAAUUUAUUUAUUUUAAUUGUGAAUAAAUCUUUUAAUAUUGCCAAUAUUAGCCUGGGCUCUUUCUUAGGAGUUGCACUUGGUGAUAAAAGGACCCCGAUUGGUGACACACUCACUCUCUUCUUCUCCACCUCGGAAGUCAUCCUACAAAUCACCAUCCUAUGGUGUCAAGCAUCACUCUCUCCUGCCACCACCUUACAGUCUCUGAUUUCUUUUAGCUUGCAUCUCCUACAAAGAAUGUAGUCCACCUGUGUGCACCUUCCUCCACUCUUAUGUUACCCUGUGCUCCUCCC